AAACUGAGGCUAAUACCGCAUACGUCCCUUUUGCGUGGAGUGAGGGGGAGAAAGAUUUAUUGCUCUUGGAGGGGCUCGCGUCGGAUUAGGUAGUUGGUGGGGUAAAGGCUUACCAAGCUGAUGAUCCGUAGCUGGUCUGAGAGGACGAUCAGCCACACUGGAACUGAGACACGGUCCAGACUCCUACGGGAGGCAGCAGUGGGGAAUAUUGCACAAUGGGCGCAAGCCUGAUGCAGCCAUGCCGCGUGUGUGAAGAAGGCUCUAGGGUUGUAAAGCACUUUCAGCGGGGAGGAAAGGUUGAAGAUUAAUACUCUUCAGCUGUGACGUUACCCGCAGAAGAAGCACCGGCUAACUCCGUGCCAGCAGCCGCGGUAAUACGGAGGGGGCUAGCGUUGUUCGGAAUUACUGGGCGUAAAGGGCGCGUAGGUGGCGUUGCAAGCGGGUGGUGAAAUCCCUGGGCUCAACCCAGGAAUUGCCAUCCGAACUGUGGUGCUCGAGUUCGGAAGAGGGUAACGGAAUUCCCAGUGGAGAGGUGGAAUUCGUAGAGAUUGGGAAGAACACCAGAAGCGAAGGCGGUUAUCUGGUCCGAAACUGACACUGAUGCGCGAAAGCGUGGGUAGCAAACAGGAUUAGAUACCCUGGUAGUCCACGCUGUAAACGAUGUGUGCCAGCCUUGGGGAGAUGUAAUCUUUCUGGGGCGCAGCUAACGCGUUAAGCACACCGCCUGGGGAGUACGGUCGCAAGGCUAAAACUCAAAGGAAUUGACGGGGGCCCGCACAAGCGGUGGAGCAUGUGGUUUAAUUCGAGGCAACGCGAAGAACCUUACCGACUUUUGACAUCCUUGAUCGCAUCGCGCGGAGACGCGCGAGUCGGUUCGGCCGGAUCUUGGACAGGU
rnacentral:rRNA from 1 species